rnacentral:rRNA from 1 species
UGAGGAAUAUUGGGCAAUGCCCGCAAGGGUGACCCAGCAACGCCGCGUGGAGGAUGAAUGUCGUAAGAUUGUAAACUCCUGUUAGAGGGGAAGAAUAGUACCGGUUGGACCGGUAUAUGACUGUACCCUCAGAGAAAGCCCCGGCUAACUACGUGCCAGCAGCCGCGGUAAUACGUAGGGGGCAAGCGUUGUCCGGAUUUACUGGGUGUAAAGGGCGCGCAGGCGGGAUAAAAAGUCAGUGGUGAAAUCCUACAGCUUAACUGUAGAACUGCCUUUGAUACUUUUAUUCUUGAGUUCGGGAGAGAGAGACGGAAUUCCAGGUGUAGUGGUGAAAUACGUAGAUAUCUGGAAGAACACCAGUUGCGAAGGCGGUCUCUUGGUCCGACACUGACGCUGAGGCGCGAAAGCCAGGGGAGCAAACG